rnacentral:rRNA from 1 species
UACGAAGGGUGCGAGUGUUGUUCGGAAUUACUGGGCGUAAAGCGCGCGUAGGCGGGUCAGAAAGUCGAUUGUGAAAUCCCUGGGCUUAACCCGGGAACUGCAGUCGAAACUCCUGAUCUUGAAUGUCUGAGAGGAUGGCGGAAUAACCGGUGUAGUAGUGAAAUACGUAGAUAUCGGUUAGAACACCUGAGGCGAAGGCGGCUAUCUGGCGGUACAUUGACGCUAAGGCGCGAAAGCGUGGGGAGCAAACAGG